rnacentral:rRNA from 1 species
GGACUACUGGGGUAUCUAAUCCUGUUUGCUCCCCACGCUUUCGCGUCUCAGCGUCAGUACCUUCCCAGAUGGCCGCCUUCGCCACCGGUGUUCCUCCCAAUAUCUACGAAUUUCACCUCUACACUGGGAAUUCCGCCAUCCUCGUCAGGACUCCAGCUUGCCAGUUUCGGACGCACUUCCAUGGUUGAGCCAUGGGUUUUCACAACCGACUUAACAAGCCGCCUACACGCGCUUUACGCCCAAUAAUUCCGAGCAACGUUCGCACCCUCUGUAUUACCGCGGCUGCUGGCAC